UAUUUUGUAGGUCUUCUUUUCUAGAAAUCAACAGCUCAAGGUAUUCUUCUUCUCUCUAUUAUUUUCUCUAUUGUCUCUUAUAUAUAGUUUUCUUGCAUCUUUUACAUUGAGGACAAUGCAAUGUUUAAGUUGGGGGGAGAAAAAUAUUUUGAUCAAAAAAAAAAAAAAACUUGUUUUUGCAUUUGAUUUAUUAUUUUCUUUUCUGAGCAAAUGC
rnacentral:lncRNA from 1 species